UACAGAGGGGGCAAGCGUUGUUCGGAAUUACUGGGCGUAAAGGGCGCGUAGGCGGCCUUCUAAGUCGAACGUGAAAUCCCUGGGCUCAACCCAGGAACUGCGUCCGAUACUGGAAGGCUUGAAUCCGGGAGAGGGAUGCGGAAUUCCAGGUGUAGCGGUGAAAUGCGUAGAUAUCUGCAGGAACACCCGUGGCGAAAGCGGCGCGCUGGACCACUACUGACGCUGAGGAACGAAAGCGUGGGGAGCGAACAGG
rnacentral:rRNA from 1 species